rnacentral:pre_miRNA from 1 species
CGGGGUUUUGGGGGCAAGAUGAGCUUAUGAUUUAUCCAACUGGCCCACAAAGUCCCGCU